UAUGGAUCGCGAUGUGAUAUGAUCUAAAGUGUGAUACAUGUCUACGCUGAAGAUCGAUCACGCAAGCCACCGUCUUUCAAUAGAUAGCUGCCUUCACGGGCCGUGUGGUUAGCGAAUACAGAGCUCCUAAUCGUCCCCUUGUGGACAACAAACCCCUGACAUCUGACCUCAAAUCAGGUAGGACUACCCGCUGAACUUAA
rnacentral:misc_RNA from 1 species